rnacentral:tRNA from 1 species
GGACAGAUAGCUAAUGUUGGCUCAGGUACGGGACUGCAAAUCCCGCAAAACGUCGGUUCGAUUCCGACUCUGUCCU